rnacentral:misc_RNA from 1 species
UGAUUUUGUAUUAUGGAAAAUACUAUUUAAAUAGUAUUCCUAUUUUAGUGAAAUUAAUUAGUUGGUCUAUUUAUUUUAAAAAAUAUAUUCUUGAAUAUAAAAAUUUUACUAUAUGAAGUUUUUUAAAAAAAAUUUUCAAUUCUUUAGACGUCAUUUUUAUUUUUCUCUACUUUAAAAUAAUUUUUCUUAAUUAUUUGGAAAUUUAAGGAAACUGGUUAACUUUUUUAUAUAGAUAGCUUGUAUCACAAAAUGAAAACAAAGGGAGAAUGAGGGGGAGAAGAGUGUGUGCAUAGAGAAAAAGAAACAUGGAGAGAAAAUAAGGAAAGAUAAAGAAAGAAAUAAAGGGGACAUGAUUAGGAUAGUUUGGGUAGGGUUGUUAGACUUGGACUAGUUAUAAAAUCGAUGAAGGCAUACGGUUAAGGGUUUAAGGUUCAACGGUGGUUG